UACAGAGGGUGCAAGCGUUACUCGGAAUUACUGGGCGUAAAGGGUGCGUAGGCGGUUUGAUAAGUUAGGUGUGAAAGUCCCGGGCUUAACCUGGGGAUUGCGCCUGAUACUGUCAGACUAGAGUACUGUAGAGGAAAGUGGAAUUUCCGGUGUAGCGGUGAAAUGCGUAGAUAUCGGAAGGAACACCAGUGGCGAAGGCGACUUUCUGGACAGAUACUGACACUGAGGCACGAAAGCAUGGGGAGCAAACAGG
rnacentral:rRNA from 1 species